rnacentral:lncRNA from 1 species
AGUAAUAUUUUUUCCACGGAUUAAUUGGGACCCAAUUAAAUUACCCUUCUUUAAAAAAGUAAAAUAAAAAGAUGCAUUUUUUGUCCUAAAGAAAGUGACAUACUACUGUAUAUCAGAUUGUGUAGGCCCAUUAGCACAUGCUAUUGUCUAUUUUCCCAUAAUCCUCCUCUAUCAACUACUGUACCUAUAAUUCAAAAUCUUCAAAAUGUUCUUCGGCCUCUAAUUAAGUGCCUAGCUAGACCAAGUAAGAUUAAUUUAAGGUAGACCCUAAUGUUUAAUCUCUCAAAUUUUUGUUUUUAAAUGAAUUUUGAUCUCAUCUCAAAA